UUCAAUGUUAUGAAGUUGUGCAAUUUUUAAGCUAAAACCCAUAUUGUCAUUUAUUUGUGUUUUUUUUCCACACAUUGUAAUAAUAAUCUGGGACUAAUACUGUAAAUUCAGAAAUUAUUGUUUGCAUUUAUUAUUAAGAUUUUUUAAGAAUGGACAAAAAUGUGGAAUUAAUUAUUGUGAAUAUUCAGGACCAUAAAUUUAUAUAUAUCAGAAUGUGAUUUCUAAUGCUUGCCAUACAAACCUAGUCGCAUCAUUGGCAUUAACCCUUAUUAAUUUCUGAAUUAACAGUUCUUAAGUAUAUAAUUGUAUUGUCAGAGUAAAAGCAUUGACUAAGCAUAUUUUGAUUUAAGUGCUUCAUACUUACAAAUUUGCACACAAGACAAAAACAUUUACAACCCUAUAGAAUUACAAAAGUAAGCUUUCAAUACUUAUAACUAAGUUUUUAUGCUUUAAUAAUGAAAUUUCAAGUAAAAUAACACUUUUAUUUGUUUCUUUAUUGUUUUGAUGUCAUAGGAAGAAUGAGACAUUUUUAAAAUGUGAAAUAAAAAUAUUAUUUUGGAAUGCCUUGCCAUUGUUGUCUGCAAUUUGCACCAAAAUCUUUUCAAGCUACUAGUCAGAAUAUUUUCACAAUUUUCUUAUGUUUAUAAACAAAUGUGUUCAAAUACUUACUUUCAGAAUAAUUUUUACAUUACCCCUACAUUCCUUACCUGGUUUGAAAUUUAUUUUUAAUAAAGGUAUACAUUAGUAAAUGUAAUAAUUAGUAUAUGUUUCUAGUUCUUUUUGAAUCUUUUUUUUUAUCAACAUGACUGGUAGAUUUAACUAUUGUUUCAUAUUUUAUAACCUAGUAGUGAUACCACCUUGUAAGUCUGGACAUAGGGCAUUAUUGAGCAUAUAAAAAAUUUAAACUCUAAAUGUAUUAAUUUUUCAAACAUGAAAUGAACAAAACAAAAAUUGAUCAACCCAAAGGAUUUUGUGAAACUUGUACAAUAUCAAAUGUACCCUUGGCAUUGUUUUGUUGUCUAGUUUUAAGCAGGCUCUCAUAUAUUUCUAAAAUCAUAAUUAACAGCAGAGGGUUUCAAUAUAAACAAAGGGGUCACUUUGUUUAAGUAUUCUUAACUACUGUAUCACUAGCCUAUCAACACUUGAGGUUGCAAGUUCUAACCCUGCAUAGGGCAAGCGCUUGACUCCAAUCUGAAUUUACUGAAAUUGUCAGUUUCCUACAGAAGGUCGGAGGUUCUCUCUUGGCACUUUGGUUUCCUCCACCAAUAAUAACUUGCUGCCACGAAAUAGCACAAUAGUGUUGAAAGUAGUGUUAAAAAACAAUCAAUCAAUCAAAGUAGAGAAAUUUUAAGACUACCAUGUAUUUUUUAAAUCCUUUUUUGCUGGUAAUCUUUGUAUGUCAAUAUAUAAGCUAUUAAGGGACCUCAGUGGCCUAGUGGUCUAAGUAGUUACUACUGUAAUCACUAGCCAGUCAACACUGGGGUUGUGAGUUUGAACCCCGCUUCUUUGGUUGCACUUCACUACAAUCUUAAUUGACUAGGGUCAUCACUUUUCCUAUCGAAGGUCAGUGGUUUUCUCCAGGCACUCUGGCUUCCUCCACCAAUAAAAACUGGCUGCCAUGAAAUAGCUUUAAUGCGGUGCAUAAAAGUGGCAUUUAAACACCAAAAAUCAAUUAAAAUAAGCUAUUAAUGUUAAACUCAAAACAAAAUGUACAAAAAUUUGCAUAACUUUUAUGUUAGUCCAUCUGAUUCAGUAGGAAUUUCUCUAUGAUGUUUACCAUCAUCAAAUACUACAGUCUGAUUCAAUAAUAGUUUCUCUAUGAUGUUUACCAUCACCAAAUACUACUGUCUGAUUCAGUAAUAGUUUCUCUGCAAUGUUUACCAUCAUCUGAUAUUACUACUACAGUGUUGGUACUCAAAUCAGUCACAUACACCUUCCCCUCAUCAUUUGAUGUCACAUAUCUGUAAGAAAAAAAUAAAAUAAAUUGUAGACCAUAUACAUGUUAAAAUUAAAAUAAAAAAGCUUCUAAUGUCAAAAUGAUCUAUGUAGGCAUAUAAUAUACAUAUGACACUGAUAUAAAUACAAGGAACCUCUGUAGUGUAUUUUUAUGCUGAAACACUACAAGCAAAUACAAAAUGGUCAUCAAUCGAAGAAUUAUAUAAAAAAAACUUCAAUGUUGGAAAAGCAUGUUCCAAAUGUUCAGUUACUGUUCUCUCUAUUAUGCUAUCAUCAGAUAUUACUUUUACAGUGUUGGUAUUCCUAUUAGUCACAUAAACAUUCCCCUCAUCAUCUGAUGUCCCAAAUCUGUAAAAAAAAAUAAAAAAAUUAUCUUUUGUGCAUGUAAUACCAUAUUCAUGUUAAAAUUUAUAAGAGACUAUUAAUACAGUAAGCAUACAAUAUACACAUGACACUAAUACAAAUACCAGGAAUCUCUCUAGGGCAUUUUCAUUGUGAAACUGAAGAAUUAUAAAAAAAAACCUUUCUUUUCAACUCCAGCUUUGUAUGAUAGCAACAUCUCAAUAUAUAAGUGUUUGAACAAGGGCAGUAGAUGAUAGUACCAUGUGAUCAUACACGUAGCCAGGGUCCGAACCCCCCCUUGAAACCAAAUAAGCACUGUUAAAGUCAACGUUUUGUUCAAAUUGUGACUGUUAAAGUCGAGUUCAUGAGUCCAAAUAACCCCCCCAUGGAAAUUCCUGGCUACUGGCCUGGUGAUACGAUACAACUACUACACUGCCUAGUCCCAUAUCUGUAAAAAAAAAAAUGACCAUAUACUUGUUUUUUUGUCUGUUUUUUUUAAUUAUUUAAAUUCGAAAUGAUCUCUGUAAUACAUAUACGAAGAACCUAUACUAGUGCAUUUUUAUUCUGAAACCAUAAAAGUUCAAAUGGUGAUCAAUUGAAGAAAUAAAAAAAAAGAACUUCAAUGUUGACAAAGAAUGUUCCAAGUAAACAACCCCUGAAUUAUUAACUAGCCUGUUUAGCUUUAGCUUUGUAUGAAAGCUACAUGUCAAUAUAUAGGUGUUUGACCAAGGGCAGUAUAAAUAGACGAUAGUACCAUUUAAAGGUCAAACGCUAUUGCUUUCAGUUUGAAUUAAAACAAUAUAUUUAGGGAUAACGUUCCUUAGAUAAUUUGAUUUUAUUAAUUUUUGACUAAGCUGAUUUUUAGAAAAGAAUACUUUUAAGUACA
rnacentral:lncRNA from 1 species